rnacentral:lncRNA from 1 species
UUUAUAAAAUCACCUUAGUACCAAACUAGUACUUAACUUGAGAAACAUAAUCCGAAAUACUUGCAGAUUUCGCCUGCUCAAUCUCACUGCAAAGGUGGAGUCAAUAGUUUAAAGAGGGUCGCUGGGCUACAUGUAGGUGGGAUGGGCAACUGUGAUUGGUGGUGGUGGGAAAGGAUAGUGGAUUGGGAUGGGACAGCUGGCUAGUAUUCAAUGAAGGAGAAAACAUGUGUUUCGAUAGCAGAAUGAUACAUGUUUGGCUAGAAAAAUAAGGGAUGAUUAGUUAUAGGGUAAAUUACAUUUUAUCCCCUCAGAUUUGGAAUCGAUUUCAAUUCCUUACAACAUUUUUAAAACAUUUCAAUUUCAUACAUUUACUUUCAUUUUAUUUCAAUUUCAUACAUCCGUUAGAAAAUCCGUUAAGUAAA